AGCGAACGCUGGCGGCAGGCUUAACACAUGCAAGUCGAGCGCCCCGCAAGGGGAGCGGCAGACGGGAGAGUAACACGUGGGAACAUACCUUUUGGUUCGGAACAACUGAGGGAAACUUCAGCUAAUACCGGAUAAGCCCUUACGGGGAAAGAUUUAUCGCCGAAAGAUUGGCCCGCGUCUGAUUAGCUAGUUGGUGAGGUAACGGCUCACCAAGGCGACGAUCAGUAGCUGGUCUGAGAGGAUGAUCAGCCUCAUUGGGACUGAGACACGGCCCAAACUCCUACGGGAGGCAGCAGUGGGGAAUAUUGGACAAUGGGCGCAAGCCUGAUCCAGCCAUGCCGCGUGAGUGAUGAAGGCCUUAGGGUUGUAAAGCUCUUUUGCCCGGGAAGAUAAUGACGGUACCGGGAGAAUAAGCCCCGGCUAACUUCGUGCCAGCCGCCGCUGUAAUAC
rnacentral:rRNA from 1 species